ACCGAAUAGAUACCCUGGUAGUCCACGCCGUAAACGUUGGGCGCUAGGUGUGGGGGUCCUUCCACGACCUCCGUGCCGCAGCUAAACGCAUUAAGCGCCCCGCCUGGGGAGUACGGCCGCAAGGCUAAAACUCAAAGGAAUUGACGGGGGCCCGCACAAGUGGCGGAGCAUGCGGAUUAAUUCGGUGCAACGCGAAGAACCUUACCAAGGCUUGACAUGCACAGGAAAGUUCCAGAGAUGGUUCCCCCGCAAGGUCUGUGCACAGGUGGUGCAUGGUUGUCGUCAGCUCGUGUCGUGAGAUGUUGGGUUAAAGUCCCGCAACGAGCGCAACCCUCGUCUUAUGUUGCCAGCACGUCAUGGUGGGAACUCAUAAGAGACUGCCGGGGUCAACUCGGAGGAAGGUGGGGAUGACGUCAAAUCAUCAUGCCCCGUUAUGUCUUGGGCUUCACGGCAUGCUACGAUGGCCGGUACAAAGGGCUGCAAUACCGCAA
rnacentral:rRNA from 1 species